CACCCGAAGCAUGUGGAAGUUGCCAGGCUAGGGGUCAAAUCGGAGCUACAGCUGCCAGGCUACACCCCAGCCACAGCCACGCAGGAUCCGAGCUACUUCGACCUACACCACAGCUCACGGCAACACCAGAUCCUUAACCCACUAAGUGAGGCCAGGGAUCGAACCCGCAUCCUCAUGGUUACUAGUCAGAUUCUUUUCCACUGUGCCACAAUGGGAACUCCAUGAAAAGUUUUAAUAGGCCUCAGUUUAUCUUUCAACCCACACCUUAGCACUAGCUGACAUGUCUGUCACUCAUGACUUAUUUUAAAAGACAACUUCUAAUAUUACUAGCAGCAAACCUUCUCACCCUCCCCCAAACCCCACUACUCACAAUUCACCUGAACCCCCCACUUAGAACAAUGUUCCUGGCAGGACCUCUGAGGCCUCCACCCUCCCCACACAAACGCACACCUGCCCAUUUCUUCCUCUACUGUCCCCGAGAUGAGACUCCCGAAAGGAUGUCGUCAUUAGAAUCUAGCUCUCCCCUUCCUUUCAGAUAACAUCAGCACACGUCCAGUCAUGUUCACAUUCCUCCGUCACCACGAGAAGGACAAGCUCCUAGAACAUUCUUCCCCACAGAUCUUUAACUCUGGAAAGCUUUCCAAAUCUAAGCAAAUUGAUUUUCCAGACUUUCCCCACCCCCACCCCCUUCACUGUGCUCAGUGGACCACAAACUCUGUCCGAAGAAGAGCCCUUUGUACCCUCACCCUCUUUUCAUCCCUUUACAUGUUACUCCAGCUCAGAAUAGAAGGAAGGUCUUUUCUGAUUGUGUCUGUUUCUCAGAGAAGUGACAUGGACUGAGAGAGAGAAAGGCUGAGGGCUUUUUCCUGUUUUGAGAAGAGAGAAGAAUGCACGAGAUCGUUAUUGCAGGGGAGUGAAAGGGAACGUUCACUUUAUCUUUCUGUUUUAAUUAAAAUCUGAUUUUCCAUGAGAGAACCGCUGCCGCUGCAGCACUAUUAAAUAUGAGCUUUUCUUUUCCUCCUCCAUCCGCCAUCCUACGGAGCCAGGGGGUGCGCUGGGUGUCCCCUGGGAGUCUCACAGCCAUUUUUAAACAGUUGUCUAAUUUCCCUCUUUAAAAACCUGAGCUUUUUGGUAGCACAUGCCAGGAGAUUAUACUACUUUCUACUCCUUCUUAUUAGCUGUGGUCCCUUCUACCCAAAAAUCUCAUUUACUGAAGUGGUACCUUUCUCUCCAUCAUGGCGUCUAUUGACAUUCUCAGUAAUGUCAACAUCCACUUGUUGAAAUAAAUUUCUAGCCCCAAGAUGGAUCCAAUCCUGCCUGAGUUGCCAUAUCAACAAGCGGAAACUUAGAUGACUUUCAUGUCCUUGUAAAGCUCUGCUUGAUCAGAAACUCAGUAUAUCCAGUCAGCUAAUCUGCAAAACCCAAGUCUGGCUCUCUACUUAACUUCCUGGUUCCUUUUCACCCAAAGUUGACUCUGUGACUCCAACCAAUCAGAUAGCUUUUAUUUCCCCCUCUUUGGUCUUUAUUCUUCAUCUUACAAAAACUUCCUGCCUUUCACCUAUUUUGCUGUUCCCCCCAUGAAGACCUUCCAAUUCAUGAAGUUUGUAUCAUCUAAAUUGUCUUCUUUCAUCAGUUUUAAACACAUAUCACCAUGCCUCUCAGUUGCUUGGGCCUUUUGCCUUCAAAAAUCUUUUAUUCACCCUUAACCAGUAAUAAUACCAUUUUCCAAAUCUGACCAACCACUUCUUAUCUUUCUAGAAUAUACAUCCCAAUACAUCUUGGAUUUCAUCUGGAUUUCUGAUUUACUGAUGGCAUUAAACAUAUUGAUUUAAACUGAUGUCACCUCUUUCCUAUCUUCAUGUCUCUCUUCAUUCAGCUUAGAUGUAUGGCCCAUCGUUAAAAUUAUUUCUGUGCAUCUAUCAUCAACUUUCUUAUCUUUCUCUCCCCACUGCCUGACAAAAUUCCAAUCUUGAUGAAGUCCAGUGUUUUCACUAUCUCAGAUCUGUAUCUAGGAGCUUCAAUGUGGUUCAAGGAAAAUGCACAAUUGUGCUGACUGAUGUCACUUUAAAGGCAUGACCGUAUUCUUAAGUGUGGAGGCCCUUGGCAUUGCUUGGAAAUUGCACGUGAGGUUUUUCACCACCUCUCUAUUCUCUGAGAUCACUCUCUCAUGUUUUUUUCAUUCUCCUUAACUGCAAACACCCCCUCAACCAACUUUAGCUUAAGGAUAAGACUUCUUAUUUUACUAAGAGAAUAGGCACAAUCAGAAGAAACUAUCCUCGUAUCAUCAAAUCCUUUGUUGAGUACACGUCUUUUCAUGUACAGUCCAUAUACUAAUAUGUAUUGCCCUCACUUGUGAAUUCAGUGAUGCAAAUGGAGUUUUGAUUUUUUUUUGUUGUUGUUCUGUUUUGGGCCAUACCCACAGCAUAUGGAAGUUCCUGGGGUAAAGGUCAAAUUGGAGCUGUAGCUGCCAGCCUACGCUGUAGCCACAGCAAGCCAGAUCCUUAACCUACUGAGUGAGGACAGGGAUCGAACCCACAGUGGAUUCGUUUCUGCUGAGCCACAAUGGGAAAUACCUGAUUUCUUAAUGAAAUGUUUCCAAAAGAUUUUAAAGGCUAUAAGUCAAUUAUUUUAUAGAAUGUUUCUCAACUUGAGUUUGUCAGAUAUUUUCUUAUGCCAAGAUUCAGGCUAUGAACUUCUGGCCAGAACACUAUACCCACAAAGUUGUAUCAUCCUUAAAGUAACACCCAAAGGUGCAAGAUGUCCAUUGUCCCUCUGUGGUAAUAUUAAUUUUUACCUCCUCAUCAAGAUGUUGUCUGGCUUCUCCACUGUGUAGUUACUAUUUUUCUCCUUAUCACUAACAAGAAAUCUAGAAAUCUAGAGGUAGACACUUUGAGAGGAUGCAAAUAGUCUGUUCCUCAGCAACCUUCUCUUCACCCCCAGAUUUAGCAUCAGGUGAUGAUUCUUGUCCUAAACUUUUCUUAUGAUGGGUUUAAAGUGAUGAUUUUUUUUUUCUAGCUCCACAACUUCUUUCUAUAUUAUAUUUUGGCAUAUUUUCUAUUAGCAAGAAACUCAACUCCUUCUUCAUUAUCUCAAUCUAUCUAUCAUCAUCAUCAUCAAUCUAUUUGUCUAUCAUCCAUUUGCCUAUCAUCAGUCUAUUAAUCUAUUAUCUAUCUUUAUAUCUAUCUAUCUAUCUAUCUAUCACCUACAUACCUACCUAUCUACCUACCAUUAGGGACUCUAUAAUGUACUUCAAAUCUCAAUUCUCUUCAUCACAUUGACGUCUCUUGCUUUCCUUUUAUUGGCAUUUGAUUUUGAUAGCUUUGCCAGGCCUUUUUUCUUAUUUUCUUUUUGAAAUCACUUGCUUUGGUUUAUAUUGAAGUUCUGAAAAGUAAUAGGAAUGUCAGAUGACCAAAAAAUUGUCUUCACACAGAUGGUUUUUAAAAAGAAUUGUCAUUAAGCAGGACACAGUUCAUGCAGCAAACAUGGCAGGAAUAAAGAACUAUUUCCAAAGGUCACUGUCUAACAAAGGGUCAGGUGUGGCAUAUUCCCUUUUCUUGGUGCUCUCCUCCCAGUGAUCAUGUUCACUGUAGGGGUCCCCACUGACUGCUCCUAUCAAGGGAUAAGAUGACCUUGACUAAAUUAUUUCCUAUUCAUUUAUGUGGCCUCCAGGCUGUAAGACUCUACAAUAACUUGAGUGGUUAUUCAAUUAUCAUAAGGGUAAUUAAUUAAUGUGGGUAAAAUUAUUUUCUGUUUCCAUAGAUGAAAGAAUUUUGCAAAGCAUUCAGUACUACUCUGUGUUGUUCCCUGAUCCUUUAAGUAAAAGCUUAAUUAGUGACUUUGAGAAGGAAAUGAGACAUAAUCAAGCAAAUUAUGUUUUCAAAAGCCUAGUUUUUUUUCUCAGUAUAAAUGCUUCCACCAUAAGGUUUAUUAUGGUUUUUGCAUUAUUCAGUUCCCAGAACAACACAUUCACUGAAAAGGCAACACUGUGAUCUGCCAGUAUAAAUAAUGCCAUGAAAGUAAAGUUUUUAAAAACAUGUUUCCGUGCAUGAAAUAUAAACAUCAAACCCAAGAAAAUACAAGACAUAACAUUAAGAUAUUUUGUAUUUUCUAGUCUAAUUUUAUAAAAAAUAUUUUAAAAUGGUUUUAAAAUUAAUUUUAACUAUUUUUUUUUGAUCAAGCAGAAAUGUAUCUGGACUAUUAUCUACGGAGUGCUUCUCCUUGCCUUCUCUUGGAUUAAUGUCUGUGGGACUCUGCUCUUUUCUCUUGGGUUAUGGAUUGGCCAGGAGAAAUGGGAAGACGUGAAGAAUAAAAACUAAUUUCCCUGAUUUUUAUCCUUGUACUAUAGUCUUAAGGUUGUUACACUAACCCCAACAAUAUUCUUAGUAAGUUGGGAAGAUUUAAAAUUGAGAAUUGCUUUUGUGGUGAAUAAAAGCUAUCUAUUCCCAAGUAGAAUUUAAUGUCUCUAUUCCAGGGUAGAAUUUAAGGGAAAUGUAAGGUCUCGAUAUAGUUAAAUCAGAUUUUGUCAUGAUAUUCUUCAUUGGUUCAGCCGUAUCUAUUGAACCGUUUACCAGUUCCUUCUUGAAUGCUAGGAUUGAGUGGUGAACAAAAUUGACAACGAUCACUGUCUCAUGGAGCUCAUGUUCUAGAAAGAAGGGAUGGACAAUAAAUAAUAAACAUAACAAUUAGGUGCACUAUGUGGAAUCUUAGAAGAUUAAAAGAAGCACUCUGUAUGAAAAGCAGAGGAAGGAGGAUUGGAGUGCUCUGGGGAGAAAGGCCUCAUUCAGAAAGUGACCUUGGAUAAAAACUUAAGUAAGGGAGUUAGUGUUCUAGGCAAACCCUAAGAUGGGAGUGUGCCAUGUGUUCAGAGAACAGCAAGGAGGAAAGUGUGAGUGGAGCCUGAGAAUGACAAGAGCCAGAGUAGAAAAAGAAAUAAAACGAGGAGCCAGUUCAUGCAUUGCCUUUGGGGCCCUGGUAAAUACUUUGUCUUUUACUUUGGAUAAAAUGAGAAACCACUGGUGUUGACUCUUCCUUUGGGAGAACCAGGGAGCCACUGGAAGAUUCUGAGCAGAGGAGUGAGUGAUGUGAUUUGACACUGAAUCGCCUUCAAUGGGUUCAGUCUGCUACAGUGUUUAGAAUAGACCCCAGGGGGGCACAAGUGGAAGCUGGGAGAGCAGUUAUGAUGUUAUCACAGUCAUGAUGGUGAGGGCCGAUGGUGACUCCCACAGAGAAGGAACAGUAAGAAAUAAUCAGAUACUACAUAGAUUUUGAAUAUGGCUCUGGGAAGUCUUCCUGGUGGAUUGCGUGUAGAUGUCAGGGAAAGAGCAGAGUCCCGGAUGACGCCAAGGUCUUUGGUCUAAGACUCCGGAAGGCUGGAGAUGCCAUCAACUGAGAUGAUAAAGGGUGGUGGAAGAGGCUUUGAGGGGAUGAUCAGAGAGGUACAACCUGAGACAUAUUAAGUUUGAGGUAUCUGUUAGACAUACAAGUGGAGAUGUUCAAUAUAGGCAGUGAAAUUGAAUGAAUCUGAAAUUCAGGAAAGAAGCUUGGAAGGGAGGUAUAGAACUUUGGGGGGCAUUUAGCAUAUAAAUGGUACUAAAUAUCAUGAGGUUAAAUGAUAUAACCACAAUAGUAAGUGGAGAUACAAAAUAGAGGAAGGCCCAAGAGUGUGCCUUGAGGCACUACCACGGAGAUACUGGAGAAGAGGGAGAACUGAUGAAGAAGACAGGGAAAAUGAACUGAAAAGAAGACAGGGAAAAUGGGAGAAGAGGGAGAACUGACAAAGGAGACAGGGAGAUAUUGGUGAAGAGAGAAAACUGAUAAAGAUGACAGGGAAAUUGAUGAAUGAUCAGCACAUUCAUCUCAAGUGUGGUCCCUCAAACUGAAGGUGAUGGGGAAAAGGUUAAGAGAGGAGAGAAGUUAUUAGGGAACUGAUACACAGGGCAGACUGGAUGUAGAAGGUUCCAUAUUCCUUUCCUGUUGGGACUGAGAGAGAAGACAUGAGUGUGGAUAGGAAACCAUCUUCCUAAAGAUGUGUUAAAUUUAGAACUCUGUAUAUGUUAAAUUAUACACACACACAUUGAUAUAUAUAUAUAAAUUGACUUAAAAAUGUUACUGAAAUCAUCUCAGGCAACAUGCAGCACUUUUUUCAUAUGUGUUCAAUAUAUUUAUAUGUGGAACUUUUAAAGUACUUGUCAAAUUAUUAAUAAAUUACCUUUUCUCUUUGAUGAUAAUUUUAAUAUUAUGCUAAAACCAUUGUCUUUGCAUAAAGAGGACACAUGAUAACUUUCUUCAAUACUUUUUCUCAAGACAUACAUACCUCUUGAAUCAGAUGCCAAUUUAUUCAGACGUAUAACUUAUUCUUUAGUUACUUGUCAGCAAUCAUUGGCAAAUAGACACAAUAGCUGUGAACUGUCUAUUUGUCUUAACUAGGGCUGAUGGGCAAAUUAUUGUCAGUGAGACAAUCAUUGCAUUAUGAGUGUCUUCAAAUGGGAGGUUGAUUUUAUUAUGUGGAUCUAAGUAAUUCCCAAUGAAAAAUGGAGCUCCCAUCUACAUUAAUUUAGAAAUACUCUACAUACUUAGAGAUUAUUAUAGGGAGAAUCUUUCGUGUGUCUUCUUUCCCAGGAGUACAAUCUAAUUAACAAAUCUGAGUCUUUCUUCAGAAAGAGUAAGCAGCUUUGCUUACCAGGGUAGGAGGCGAUGGCAUUGAUGUGGGUGGUCCUGAUGACGCCCACCCGGGGCCCACGGUUGUUUUUCAUGCACAUGCAGAUACAUAUAGCAAUUCCAGCAAUGACCCCCAUGAUGAAUACGAUGCCAAACACUAUGCCAGCAAUGGCUGUGCCCCUAAAAAGGAAAAGCAAAAGCACAUUUAUUGAAAAGACCCAUAAGGAUUCCUCAGCCUUUCGAAUACUGUUCCAUGAUUCUAUGACAGGUGCCCCUUUACAUGCCUUCUUAAGAAUCAUCUUGGAAUUCUUGUCGUGGCGCAGUGGUUAACAAAUCUGACUAGGAACCAUGAGGUUGCGGUUCGAUCCCUGCCCUUGCUCAGUGGGUUAAGGAUCUGGCGUGAGCUGUGGUGUAGGUUGCAGACGCGGCUCGGAUCCAGCAUUGCUGUGGCCCUGGUGUAGGCCAGCAACUUCAGCUCCGAUUAGACCCCUAGCCUGGGAACCUCCAUAUGCCACGGGAGUGGCCCAAGAAAUGGCAAAAAGACAAAAAAAAAAAAA
rnacentral:lncRNA from 1 species